rnacentral:rRNA from 1 species
GACAGAGGGUGCAAACGUUGUUCGGAAUUACUUGGGCGUAAAGCGCGUGUAGGCUGCUUCAUAAGUCGGGUGUGAAAAGCCCUGGGCUCAACCUAGGAAGUGCACUCGAAACUGCGAAGCUUGAGUCCUGGAGAAGGAAGGCGGAAUUCUCGGUGUAGAGGUGAAAUUCGUAGAUAUCGAGAGGAACACCGGUGGCGAAGGCGGCCUUCUGGACAGUGACUGACGCUGAGACGCGAAAGCGUGGGGAGCAAACAGG